rnacentral:rRNA from 1 species
CAGUCGCCACGGUAAUACGUAGGGUGCAAGCGUUGUCCGGAAUCAUUGGGCGUAAAGCGCGCGUAGGUGGCCAUUUAAGUCCGCUGUGAAAGUCAAAGGCUCAACCUUUGAGAGCCGGUGGAUACUGGAUGGUUAGAGUACGGAAGAGGCGAGUGGAAUUCCUGGUGUAGCGGUGGAAUGCGCAGAUAUCAGGAGGAACACCAAUAGCGAAGGCAGCUCGCUGGGACGUUACUGACACUGAGGCGCGAAAGCGUGGGGAGCGAACAGGAUUAGAUACCCCAGUAGUCCCUGUCUCUUAUAC